GUGCCAGCCGCCGCGGUAAUACGUAGGGUGCAAGCGUUAAUCGGAAUUACUGGGCGUAAAGCGUGCGCAGGCGGUCUCGCAAGUCCGAUGUGAAAUCCCCGGGCUCAACCUGGGAACUGCGUUGGAAACUACGAGGCUGGAGUACGGCAGAGGGGGGUGGAAUUCCACGUGUAGCAGUGAAAUGCGUAGAUAUGUGGAGGAACACCGAUGGCGAAGGCAGCCCCCUGGGCUAGUACUGACGCUCAUGCACGAAAGCGUGGGGAGCAAACAGGAUUAGAUACCCUGGUAGUCCACGCCCUAAACGAUGGCAACUAGUUGUUGGAGGAUGAACUCCUUUAGUAACGCAGCUAACGCGUGAAGUUGCCCGCCUGGGGAGUACGGUCGCAAGAUUAAA
rnacentral:rRNA from 1 species